UACGUAGGGGGCUAGCGUUGUCCGGAAUCAUUGGGCGUAAAGCGCGUGUAGGCGGUCCGGUAAGUCCGCUGUGAAAGUCGGGGGCUCAACCCUCGGAUGCCGGUAGAUACUGUCGGGCUUGAGUACGGAAGAGGCGAGUGGAAUUCCUGGUGUAGCGGUGAAAUGCGCAGAUAUCAGGAGGAACACCAAUUGCGAAGGCAGCUCGCUGGGACGUUACUGACGCUGAGACGCGAAAGCGUGGGGAGCAAACGGG
rnacentral:rRNA from 1 species